GACGAACGCUGGCGGCGUGCUUAACACAUGCAAGUCGAGCGGAAAGGCCCUUUCGGGGGUACUCGAGCGGCGAACGGGUGAGUAACACGUGAGUAAUCUGCCCUUGGCUUUGGGAUAACCACCGGAAACGGUGGCUAAUACCGGAUAUGACGGGCUCCGGCAUCGGGGUUCGUGGAAAGUUUUUUCGGCCAGGGAUGUGCUCGCGGCCUAUCAGCUUGUUGGUGGGGUAAUGGCUACCAAGGCUUCGACGGGUAGCCGGCCUGAGAGGGUGACCGGCCACACUGGGACUGAGACACGGCCCAGACUCCUACGGGAGGCAGCAGUGGGGAAUAUUGGACAAUGGGCGGAAGCCUGAUCCAGCAACGCCGCGUGAGGGAUGACGGCC
rnacentral:rRNA from 1 species